rnacentral:lncRNA from 1 species
GUUGAAACAGACUUUUCCACAGAAAGUGUGUUGAAUUCACAUUCUUUGGGUAACAGAAAUUGAGUCAAGAAAAAUGGAUCAAGAUGGAAGUCCAGAAAUGGGCAUAGUAAGAGAUCCCCAUAUUUGGGGAUGCGAAUCUAAGCAAGUCCCAGGAUGAAGCCU